UAAUAAUAAUAAUAAUAAUAUAUUGAAACCUCUAUUCAUACUACAGUUUUAGGCUUUUUGGCUGGGCAGCCAUCAUUAGAUCAUAGAUUUAAUGGCUGGUGGGGAACGAGGAAGAAAAAUUAGAGAAACAUGUUCAGUGUAAAAGACGCAAUUGCUGUGUUGAUAAAUCUGUCAUUCUUUUGGCUGGCAUGGUGAGGUUCAAUGCGUGCAAGAGUUGAAACUCUGUAGCACCUGUGUUUUUUUUUUUUUUAACCAUCUUAAAUAAAUAUGGGAACUUUGUGACUUGAAGAUUUUAGAUUUCACAGCAAGAAAUAAUAAAUGAAGUUUGCUGUAGUAAAAAACUGUCUGCGUGAAUAAAAGAAAGAACUAUGUUAGCAACUAGUGGUUUGCUGUGCUAUAGACUAAUAUUGAGCAUCAUUGAUGCUGACGCUUUGUAUUGUCUGAAUCUCGUUAUGCAUAUAUAUUGUGUUAUUUAGAUCAAUCUCAGUAUAGCUUAAGACCAACUUAAUGAAUUAUUAUUAAUUGCAACCAUUAGGAAGUGUCAGGUUGAGGGUAAGGAGGGCUGCAGUUUCUAUUUUCUAGCAAUUUUUUUUGUCGAUGUAAUGUCAAUUGAGUUCGUUGAUUGAGGUUGGUUUGAUUCUUUUGAGUGUAGGGAAGCUGGGGAUGACUCAGUAAAGUAUAUUUGU
rnacentral:misc_RNA from 1 species